AACCAUAGAAACCUGCGGAGUACCUGCGGAAGGAUCAUUACGAGAGUGCCACCACUCCCAACCACUGUUUACCCACCCGUCCACUGUGCCUCGGCAGGCAGCCCUGUGGGACAGAGCCUCGCCCCCCCUCGCGGGGGGUGCCUGCCGCUGGCCGACCCAAACUCUAGCUGUUUUAUACUGUCUGAGUCUUCCACAAAUGAACAAAACUUUUAACAACGGAUCUCAGAUCGGAAGAGCACA
rnacentral:misc_RNA from 1 species